AAUAUUAACAAUAUCCCAUUAAAAAAAUACAUAAGAGCAAAAUAAAUUUGGUUAUAAAGGUGGCCCUAUAUGCAGUCUGCAAUUUCAAUGUGAGAACAUGUAACAGGGACUUGAACGUGUGAAUAAAGGAAAAAAAAACUGAGAAAAUGACAGCGACAAGUAAGAAUUAAAAUACUUUACAUACAUUAUGAAAUACACCUUAACACUAAAACAAUGGGUCCUUGAGGUUGUGCUACAUGCUUAAACAGUCUGAACUGUCUUGAGUGGCUGAUAUCCUCACCAGCAGGGCUAAAAACAUGCAGUGUUUUCUCACUGAAUAUGAAUUACACUGUCUUACAAUCAAAGACAAGUUUCCUCCACCUGGAAAUAACAUUUGGAAAAUAUUGGAGGACUAUGUUUUGUUACAAGGCUCACCUGUCACUUUGAGAGUGUUACAUUUAGGGCUGUUUAGCCUUUAUGUUGCUAGGCUAAAGAGUUUCUUGCUAGCUACAGUGCAUCUGAGAGAGUUAGUCAGCCAUUAAAGUAUCAGGCUGAGGAUACAGUUGCCGAAGAGUGUGAGGACAAUGAAGAAAAUGGAGAAAACCAUCCCUUUGUCGUUCACUCCUCCCUGGGACUCGAUGCCAUCAUACAUCACCAUGUUCCAAUCCUCUCCAGAGUACAUUCUGAGCUGCCCUGGACCCUGUUUACUGUGCUGAAGUCCUGCAGCAAGAAACAGAAAACCUUCUUCAUGUGUGACAAUUAAAAUCCUUUCAUUAAAAAAAAG